CUUCCGUCACGCUCGUCUUGGGAUGGCGGGAGGCGGGCGACGCCCCCAACCGGUCGCCGGUCAAAGGCCGAGCAGACAAUUCCGUAUUUGUCAUCGCGCUCUUAGUCCACUCUGUUUUUCGUCACCGCAAAUGAAAUACAACAACCCUGUGUGUGUGUGUGUGAGUGUGUGUGUGUGUGUGUGUCUGGCCUAUGGGCUCCUCCAGGGCGAUGCAAACCUUCGUGCCCCCACGCUAGACACGCACACGCACAGCCCUCAGGGCAGGGCAUACCAGUCCUGAUGACGCUCUGACAGCCCAACAGCUGCAGCCUGUUGUUGUUUCAACACACACACACACACACACACACACGCCGCCAUGAC